rnacentral:rRNA from 1 species
AUUGAACGCUGGCGGCAGGCCUAACACAUGCAAGUCGAACGAGUGGCGGACGGGUGAGUAAUGUCUGGGAAACUGCCUGAUGGAGGGGGAUAACUACUGGAAAAGGUAGCUCAUACCGCAUCCCAUCGGAUGUGCCCAGAUGGGAUUAGCUAGUAGGUGGGGUAAAGGCUCACCUAGGCGACGAUCCCUAGCUGGUCUGAGAGGAUGACCAGCCACACUGUAACGUAGACACGGUCCAGACUCCUACGGGAGGCAGCAGUGGGGAAUAUUGCACAAUGGUCGCAAGCCUGAUGCAGCCAUGCCGCGUGUAUGAAGAAGGCCUUCGGGUUGUAAAGUACUUUCAGCGGGGAUGCGUUACCCGCAGAAGAAGCCCCGGCUAACUCCGUGCCAGCAGCCGCGGUAAUUC